rnacentral:misc_RNA from 1 species
GCUUCCAAAGGCGAAUCUAGCAGUUCAGGGGUCACGGAUACAACGAGUAACCCGAUGAAUGUUGUCACUAUUGGUUCGGUGCCCAUAUCGGUGAAAGGGUUGGUCGAGUCUUCCUCGGGUGUUAUAACUGUAGGUACCAUUCCUAUCGAACCUAAAAGUUCAAAAUAUAGGCAGGGUGCAUCGAGCGGUAGCCUGCCAAUUCAGAAAUGAGUUUGGUUUUUGCGUGUUA